rnacentral:rRNA from 1 species
UACGAAGGGGGCUAGCGUUGCUCGGAAUUACUGGGCGUAAAGCGCACGUAGGCGGCUUUCUAAGUCGGGGGGUGAAAUCCUGGAGCUCAACUCCAGAACUGCCUUCGAUACUGGAGAGCUUGAAUCCAGGAGAGGUGAGUGGAAUUCCGAGUGUAGAGGUGAAAUUCGUAGAUAUUCGGAAGAACACCAGUGGCGAAGGCGGCUCACUGGACUGGUAUUGACGCUGAGGUGCGAAAGCGUGGGGAGCAAACAGGG